rnacentral:lncRNA from 1 species
AAAUUACAUAAUCAAGGCUUGAAUUUAACUCAUUUCAUUAAGAGUUUUUGGUUUAAAAAUAUGAAAGAUUUAAGGUUAUCUUGAAAUUCCUCUGUUGAAUUAUCUUUUGUUUGACAUGUUUAUAAGUAAGUUAUAAACAACCUGUCAGAGGAGUUUACUAUUUUUUUCUUGUUUUAGAACAAGUUAUUGUUUCUAUUGAACAUCUGUACCAUAUAUACGAAGCAUUUAAUAGCUGGCUUGAGAGAGAAGUGAGCCAUGUAGGAUUCUUUUUUAGCAUUGAGAAAUUACAAGUAGGAUUCAAGAUGAAGUGAAACUAUCGAAAUGAAUGAAAGAAGAUUUGAGUUUGGUUUAAAAUUGUGGUACUUUAAUGCUUCGCUAUAAUGUUGGUAAAAAUUAUUUGAGUGUUACGAUGAGUAAAAAUUUCUGGAACUUCUGUUGAAACAAUGAUGUCUUCGUGAACAAUGAUAAGGACUCAAAAAUUGAUGGGGCCAUUCUAAGUUGGGAUCGGGUUUCCUUCCCAGUUUUGUGCCUUGUGCUGUUACUAAUUCUUCAUCAUACGGUUUUGAAAUCAGAAGUCUAUAAACUGUGUGCUUUUUGUUGACUGCACUGAGUUUGUAGUACAAAAUGCCUGAUAUAUACAUUGGUUAUUAUUUCUUUCUGUUUGGUGUCUCGAUCUACUAAGGAUCACGUAAUGGCUCAGUCAGCUUAUUUUGCAUCUCUACUUAUCCAACUCCCUUUGCUUCUGUCCCUCAAUCCCACAAAACAAAAGAAAAAAAAAUGGAAACACAACAAAAUUUUGCACUAUGGGUGAUUGAACUGGUAUGAUGUUUACUAGUGCCUACAAUGUAAUUAUCCUGCAAUUUUCUCUAAUUGACCCCUUUUUUCUUUGACUGUGGCUGCCAAUCAAUCAGAUGGAUAAUGGACAGUCGUGAUGAAUAUACAGAGGAGCGCCUUGAAGCAAUAAAUGAUGAGUUCAAGCUAUAUCGCUGCCACACAAUUCUGAAUUGUGCUAAAGCUUGCCCAAAGGGACUGAAUCCCGGGAAGCAAAUCCAGAAUAUCAAGAAACUCGAGAUGACUACUCCUUGAGUUCCUGGGAAACAUAUGAUGUACAUAUAUCUUUCUUCACAAUUAUGUUGAAGGGCCGGUUGAGUUUCACGGGGAAAUAAUGUAUGCACUUGAUGUAAUUUUAUAAGUCUUUCAUAUCCGUCGUGUACCUUAGUUUAAGGUCAUUGUUCUAAAAAUAACAUUUCAAGAGCUAUCGCGUAUAAAUACUUCACUUAUUAGCGAUUCAUCGAUGUAAUUUCAGUUGGAUUGUUUGUUAGUUUCUUUUGGUAUAAUUCAGUGAAAACAUUCUCUGCUUAUUUGACAUUUAAAUGUUAUUGUUUAAAAGUUGUAACAGAAAAAUCACACUGAUAAUGUUCUCAUGGCUUAAACUUUUGAGUUGUC